rnacentral:lncRNA from 1 species
GUAACAACUUCACAGAAAUCAUCUGAAGCGAUUACGGCGAUUGGCUGGAAUCGCUCAAUCUAGACACGAUGUCCAAUUUUUGUUCCAACAGUUGUGUACACAAAAUAUCCAGGAUACUUUUCGACGCUACAAAACGGGUCAAGUGACUGUAAUAAUUGUCUCACGGUAAUUGGCAGUGUCUUUUUCCAUUAAUUCGAACGGCGAGCGCAUGGGAUACUCGUAAUGGCCAAAACUCGUUUAAUGUGGGAUAGCGUAUGCCGCAUCAAAUUGUCAUGAGAUCGAAGCCCUCGGGCUCUUCCUCUGCUGGGAAUGUGGCGCGUACCUACCUCGGACAAAGCGAUUGGUGUAGAAUAGCAGCGCACAGCCGUCACAACUGCUUUCGUUCACUUCGAAGAAAUUCUCACAAAGAUAACUUUGACGCAGCAUCUCGUGCAACAAUGAAAACUCUGGUCUAUCUAUCUACUCUUAACUGUGAUUGCCAAUGGGCGAAACACCGAUAUACUUGCCAGCACAGUUCCUGAAGAGUGAAAUAAUUUCAAGGAUAAUUGGAACUCAAUAUUGUUCUGAGAAGAAACCUGCAGCUCAACAAGUGAAUCGUUACCGCUGCAAUCCGAAUCAGCCGGUUUUCAUAUCGAAUAUCCCGCAUGCGCAGAUUCGUGGAUCGCAAUAUGACGUAUAUUUGGAAUAUCAAUUUGCAAUAUUACUCAUAAGAUGAAUAUAAUCCCUUGGAGAUCUCCCUCUCGCUCUUGGAUUCGUGAACGAAGUACAACUUCGAGAACGCGAAUAAUAAUUCAGCAGCGUUGACGAUUCUCCGAAUAUACCUUUUUCACUUCUAUCCACCGUCUUGAAAAUCGAUGGAAUAUCAAAUUCAAUGUGGCGAUGAGCAGGAAACUACGUACAGCAUGGUCCCUACAGAAAGUAACUUCUUCGCGAUGAGUACAAAGGUACUGUUAGGCAGGCCGCUGAAUAUCAACUCAUAUCAAUCGCAAGCGAACAGAAUGCAAUUAGAGACCUAGCUCGUUAGAAAGCGAAUAUAGCAAAGCUCGAAGCCAAGGGAUAAGCUCACGAAGAAGCAAGUGCCUACCGGGAAGCAAUUUCACGUGUAAGGGAAGAAGCCUGGUGAGAAGUUACUAGAGACGGGCCAUCUACUCCAAUGCACCAACUCUCGGAAGGAUCGCUCGUGAAGUAAUCUAAUGCGAGUAACUUUUCACAUAGCAACAACUAUCGAGAAGGAAAGUUGCACGCUACAAUCUAUUUCGUUUGUCGUAUAUUACAAAUGCGUAGGGUGUCUCAUCGUCGGCAUUGAAUCGCUUUAUUGGAAUCCUACUUGAAUCUGGCCAUUUCUGUCAAUAUUUUACAAUCGAGCGAACGUAAAACUGGAAAGCGGAUGCUGAAUUCAUGAGAGUUGUACAAUGUGACAACACAGUUCCGUGGUAUUUGUGAUCGUGCACAGGCGACGGGAAUUGUCAUAAGAAUCCACUACAAGUCAGUGACCUAAUUUUAAGAACUUUGAGAUAGCUUUUCAAAUGAAACUUUUUCGUUUAAGACUGAAGUCAUGUUGCAAACACAGUGAAAAACAUCUUAUCUUUAUUUUGGAAAUCUGUAUACCGUCCAAUUCGGACCUGAACUCGUCAUGAAUAUACCUACCAUAUGC